UGACUAAAUCAGAUAAUCGCAUGAAUUCAUGAGGAAAGUCCGUGCACUAUAGAGCGAGGAUGCUGGAUAACGUCCAGUGGGGGCGACCCUAAGGCUAGUGCAACAGAGAUAUACCGCCAUUUAAUGGUAAGGGUGGAAAGGUAGGGUAAGAGCCUACCAGCAUAAAGGUGACUUUAUGGCUAUGUAAACCCCAUUCAGUGCAAAAUCAAAUAGGAAUAAAGACGGCUGCUCGUCGUCUC
rnacentral:RNase_P_RNA from 1 species